rnacentral:rRNA from 1 species
GAUGAACGCUGGCGGCGUGCCUAAUACAUGCAAGUCGAGCGAACAGACGAGGAGCUUGCUCCUCUGACGUUAGCGGCGGACGGGUGAGUAACACGUGGAUAACCUACCUAUAAGACUGGGAUAACUUCGGGAAACCGGAGCUAAUACCGGAUAACAUUUUGAACCGCAUGGUUCAACAGUGAAAGACGGUCUUGCUGUCACUUAUAGAUGGAUCCGCGCCGCAUUAGCUAGUUGGUAAGGUAACGGCUUACCAAGGCAACGAUGCGUAGCCGACCUGAGAGGGUGAUCGGCCACACUGGAACUGAGACACGGUCCAGACUCCUACGGGAGGCAGCAGUAGGGAAUCUUCCGCAAUGGGCGAAAGCCUGACGGAGCAAAGCCGCGUGAGUGAAGAAGGGCUUCGGAUCGUAAAACUCUGUUAUUAGGGAAGAAAAAAUGUGUAAGUAACUAUGCACGUCUUGACGGUACCUAAUCAGAAAGCCACGGCUAACUACGUGC